rnacentral:ncRNA from 1 species
AAAAAAUAAGCUAUGGGAGCGAGACAGAAACAAUUUUUUUCAAAAUUUAUUUCGUCCCACCCCAGCCUGCUUAGCUUGUAGAAUUUCUUUUUGAAAUUCUCUUUGCUGGGGCGCCCCAUCUGGCAGGUAAGGUUGACUAGAAUUAAAAAGAUGCUUGUUACAAGUGCAUUUUAAUUCAGUCAACUACUGCCAAUAUAUAUUUUUAGCCUGAGACAUUGAUUUAU